GCCAGGUGUGGCAGUGCACGCCUGUAGUCCCAGCUACUGGGGAGGCUGAGGCAGGAGAAUUGCUUGAACUGGGGAGGCAGAGGCUGCAGUGAGCCCAGAUUGUGCCACUGCACUCCAGCCUCAGUGACAGAGCGAGACCCUGUCUCAA
rfam:Homo sapiens chromosome 17, GRCh38 reference primary assembly.